GACGCUUUCGUUUGCAUAUUUUUUUAUGCGCCGCACGCAGUUGCCGUCGCUGUCGUGGUCGUCGUCGUCGCGUAGUGGUCGACGCUGUGCUAAUUUGACUAAAUUUUUUAAUUUAUAACUGUUGCCGGUUAUAAAUUCUAGCUAAUCGAGUUUAAUUGCCAACGCCGCAAGUGCCACAGGAAUGCCAUACUUCGAGGAGUUUUAUGCGCCUCAAGAUUAGUUAAGAGCAGAAGACAGAUGAGUGUAAACUUGCCAAAUCACAUAAUCAACCAAAAACGUAGCAAACAGCGGGGUAACGUGAUGGAAAACAGCGUGAACGAAAAAUAAGAGGAAAACCAACCCAACAAGGGGAGAAAAAUUUCCUACAAACUUAACUCCAGCUUGACCGACAGCCUGGCAAGAUACGUUGACACGAAGUAUACGCUUCCCUUCCCACCAUACCCUUAUCCAACACCACAUAACGCAACGCCAGCAAAUGACGUGAACGUGAAGUUUGAUCAGGUGCGCAUACAAAUCUUACGGCGACGGCAACUUUCAGUUAAACCAAACACACAGACGACACACACACGCAAACACAUAAGCAUGCGAAAAGAGACUCAGGAAACAUGAGAAGAACAGGAUUAUUUUGCAGCUGAUUAAAGUGAUAAAAUAAUAAUUUGUAGUGGAUUCGCACUGGCUAACAGCAAUCGAACAAUAAAUAAAAAAGUCGAUUUGUGCUAAGUUGGAAAAUGUUUUAUCUUCUCAAUUAUCCAAAUUUGGAACUACAUUUCUACAAUUGCAACUAUAGAAGAUCGUGCCCCAUACAAUGCCACACUAAUUGGCCGCUGAUCAAAUUGGAGAUCAACCCGCUUCGGGUUAGAGAUCGCUCUCUCUCUCUGCCGCCGUUUGCAGCUCCAUCUCCCAACACGUGCACAUCAAAAUCUACGCUUUAUAAUUGGUUUGUCGAGCUGCCAGCAACAGGCUCAAGCUCACAUCUCUGUCUACGCCACAGCCCCGCCACAGCCAGGCCGAAGACAUGGCCAAAACCAACGUCAGCGAUGCUAAGUGAAUUAAAAUAAUGCUGCUGCCGCCACUGAUGAUGAUGAUGUGGAUGUGGAUAGAGUUGGCCCUCCCAUCCGCUGCCCCCAGCUGCUAGCUGAUGCUGAUGAUUCUAUUUAUU